UGGUGCCUUCUUGUGGAUGUUCAGUGCAGGUACUCCAUAAAUUAAGGCACAAAAGAACAGAAAAAUGGCCUGGAAAAGGAAUUAAGGAGAGGUGCUUGGUAAUUGAGCAAGUCAGGGGGCAGUUGGGGACUCCUAUGAUUGGUACAGCAGGGAGCCAACACCCCCAUCAUCA